UUCCUCUCCGGGCGAAGAAUUUCAUUUUCUACUGUGCCGUUUGCGUGUGCAGGUGCGUGUUUGCUCCGAGUUUACGGAACUUUGUGCUUUAAAUUACACUGUGAGAAAUAGAGGUUUCAUCCAAAAACGCUUCCACUCGACCGCGGACCUGCAGUGAUUUCUUAGUCUGUGACGCUCUAGCACCUUGAAAACAAUCGUGCAGAAUCGCCGAAAACGCAGCAUCCGCUUCCUGCCAGGGGGUGGCCAAUAAAGCGGAACAGAAGCGAUAUCGCACGCAUCCGUUCACUCAUCAACCCUUGUGCGCAGUGUCUGCAGUGUCUGCUGCACCCUCCGAAGGAUGAGGCUAUUACGGAUGAAUUUGCUUCUCAUUACGCUUCUUAGCGUAGGAUUGACGCUGUCAUCCGCCCAACAGACGCCGUCCGCGAGUCCGAGCAUCGUAUUUAUCAGCCCGGAGCAAAUCAAAGACAUUGGCGAGCAAGUGACGCUCAACUGUUCGAUCGCGAACGUGAAGAACUACAUCGUCGGCUGGCAGAAGAGCAACCGCGACCGGACGAAGGAAAGCAACAUCAUCUCGCUCGGGGUGCAGCUGGCCGUGACGGAGGAUCGAUUCCGGUUGAACUUUACCAAGGAAAACAAUGCCGCCAACUAUGUGCUGGAGAUUCAUGAUAUCGUCAACACGGAUGCCGGUUUGUACGAGUGCCAGAUCCAGGUGAACAGUACGAGCAAGAUCACCAAAACGGUCGAGCUGCAGGUCCGGCAUCCGCCGAUGCUACUCGAGAACCAGCACACGAACACGCUUACGAAGGCGGAAGGUGAGGACGCACAGCUUGUGUGCCGUGCUGAAGGAUAUCCACGUCCCACCAUCACCUGGCGCCGUGAGUACAACGCCAUUCUGCCCAUCGGGGGUCAAACGUUCACCGGCAACGAGCUACGGCUUAAUGGACUGCGCCGGGAAGACCGUGGCACGUACUACUGUAUGGCCGAUAACGGUGUGGGUCGGACGGAUACGAAGACAAUCACGCUGGAGGUGGAGUUUGCUCCGGUGAUUCGUGUACCACGGCCGAAAGUAGCUCAAGCCAUCGAUUAUGACAUUGACGUCGAGUGUGUGGUACAGGCGUUCCCAGCGCCGGCUAUUUCCUGGUUCCGAGAUGGCAAACAGAUCCACAACGGCGGGUCUUACAGCAUCUCCCAGAUCGGUUCACCGGACGAUGUUACAACGUCCGUGGUUAAGGUCCAUUCCGUGGCCUCGGAGCAUUACGGUGACUACGUGUGCAAGGCGACCAACAAGGUCGGACAAGCUGAGGCUCGGUUGAAUCUGUUCGAAUCUGUAAUUCCUGUUACCUUUUGAGUCGUUAUAAUUUUUGGGUAGGAUAAAUCCAUUGCCGGAAUUAGCUCCUUUCCCUUUAACCAUAUCACCACGUUCCAGUUUUAUGUGUGUGUUUGUUUUUCCUGCUUCAUCCACAUCCAUUUGCCGUUAUAUUUUAAACUGUGUUUGUAGCAAAACGUUCCCAACAUUAACUAUUCCGGGCUAAAGUGGGCCAACGGUGGCACCACGACACGGCACGUCGUACUCGGACACAUGCUGAUCGUUGUAACUACCUUACUGCUGGCAACGCUCUUGUGAAUAGGUCGCGGGAAAACGUAUGGCCCCAGGGGUAACACUUGGCGCCAUGCGUGUUUCCUUGGCUCGCUGGCAAGAGCUGGACGAUGAUCGAAUUCCUCUCACUUGACUGGAAACUGGACAAAAUCACAAUAUCAUGCCAUCGUGAGAGAUAAUCAGGAGCAACACUUCUCUACCUGGAGACUGAUAGUUGACAUACUUUUUUACCUUUAAGCCCCGUCAUACCCAUCCUCAUAGUGCCCGGUGGUAGGCUAAAGGGGUACCGUAACUAGAGUGCAAACGCGAAACAAAGCAAAAAAAAAAAAACUUCCCAAAAUAGAGAUGAAUCCGACGACGAACGCGCAUAUCUCACCACCCCUCCCGGGUGGUAAGGCUGUCUGCAGCAAAAUGGUACAAUUUUAUUCAUACAAAAACGUAGAAACAAAACGCGACCAAGCAGGUAGAUCGUAGGUAGUGUUACGGAAUAGAAUGACGAUAUAUUUUGUGCGGUGAAUAUUCGUAUCAUAAAGAGGGAGCGCAAUUUUGAAUCAGAAAAGAAUUUUAAAACUAUUUCUUCACCUUUUUUUUUUUGGACGCCGUCGUUAGGUAAAUGAUAGAACAAAAAAUGGAAAACAAAAACAGCAACAAGAAAAACGAUACAAAACGGGGGUAAUAGGAUGAUUCAUCGGCAUGAUCUAUACACAAUCGUUCAUUUUCGGUCCUAUGCUCGUUAGGCUAAGAAUUUAUGCAAUAGUGGAAAACACGAAAGACACCGAAAAAAUCGUAUGUUUGGAAUAAAAUCGAAACUUUGCACUAACUGCA